AUGCUUUACACAUGCAAGUCGAACGGCAGCACGGGAGCUUGCUCCUGGUGGCGAGUGGCGAACGGGUGAGUAAUGCGUCGGAACGUACCGAGUAAUGGGGGAUAACGCAGCGAAAGUUGUGCUAAUACCGCAUACGCCCUGAGGGGGAAAGUGGGGGAUCGUAAGACCUCACGUUAUUCGAGCGGCCGACGUCUGAUUAGCUAGUUGGUGGGGUAAUGGCUCACCAAGGCGACGAUCAGUAGCGGGUCUGAGAGGAUGAUCCGCCACACUGGGACUGAGACACGGCCCAGACUCCUACGGGAGGCAGCAGUGGGGAAUUUUGGACAAUGGGGGCAACCCUGAUCCAGCCAUUCCGCGUGAGUGAAGAAGGCCUUCGGGUUGUAAAGCUCUUUCAGCUGGAACGAAACGGUACGCUCUAACAUAGCGUGCUAAUGACGGUACCAGCAGAAGAAGCACCGGCUAACUACGUGCCAGCAGCCGCGGUAAUACGUAGGGUGCGAGCGUUAAUCGGAAUUACUGGGCGUAAAGCGUGCGCAGGCGGAUUGUUAAGCAAGAUGUGAAAUCCCCGGGCUUAACCUGGGAAUGGCAUUUUGAACUGGCAGUCUAGAGUGUGUCAGAGGGGGGUGGAAUUCCACGUGUAGCAGUGAAAUGCGUAGAGAUGUGGAGGAACACCGAUGGCGAAGGCAGCCCCCUGGGAUAACACUGACGCUCAUGUACGAAAGCGUGGGUAGCAAACAGGAUUAGAUACCCUGGUAGUCCACGCCCUAAACGAUGUCAACUGGUUGUUGGGGGAGUGAAAUCCCUUAGUAACGAAGCUAACGCGUGAAGUUGACCGCCUGGGGAGUACGGUCGCAAGAUUAAAACUCAAAUGAAUUGACGG
rnacentral:rRNA from 1 species